ACGGCAGUGGCGGAGCGCAGACUCCCCUGUCGUCCAGCGCUGUUUUUGCUCAUAUUCUACUUGCUAUAAUUAAUAAAAUUUUAAUUGGAUUAUGAUCCGUUGUGGUCACAAUUUAUGACAAUUUCUGGUGCCGUGACUCGGAUAAGGAACGGUGGGCUUUGGUCCUCCGGGGAGGCGCCCCGCGACAUUUCGCGGCCCCGCGACCAACAGCUCACUCCAACCUUACCGACGAACCUAAAUUCUAGGAUAUUGAGCAAAAAAGGACCGGUAAAAUCCCAUAAAAUUCUGUGCACGGGAGUCCGGACGAAGACGCAGGACGCAAACAGCUGUCCGAACUGCUGAGCGUGGAUGGACUCAUGCCAGUCGCAUUAAAGGCCCAGUGACGAGACCCCACUGGAAAGUAAUCAGUACUCCAGGUGACACCAAGAUAACCCUGAAAAGAUAACGUAAUGAUAAAGACUUUAUUUGAUUAUUUUGCCGCAUUACCUUUCGGUAUAAAGUGUGUAUUGCUGUUUAUAUUUGCUAUAAUUAUUUCUCUUUUUUUCUAUUAUAUAUGGAAGCGUACAAAGUGUGUUGAAGGAAAUUGCUAAACUUAUGCAACCUCACAAUAUUAAAUAUAGAAGAUAUGUUGAUGUAAAUAAUAUAUGCACUCUAGAUAUACGAAUUAGGUGGGUGUAAUGAUUUGAACUGCAAUUGUUAUCCAUUUGCUUGUUUUAGGUGUAAGGUAUGCCAGGAUAAAUGGUAGACACAUUGUGAAUGUGGAUACCCUCCAAUAGGAGUUUGCACACAGUGUUGGAAAAUCCAAAGAACUCUCACUGAGUGGAAAUUAAAACAAUUAGAGUCUAAACAAAAAAAAUUAUUCGGGAAUCCCAUGAGUGGUGGGAAAUUUUUGCCAAAGGAAUAAACCCUCGAUAUUAUUGCUACCACUCCAACGAACCAGUCCCCUUUGUAGCUGAAAUUUUGGUUAUAAAAUGCAGAAGGGAAGUACUGACCGUGUCUUACUUUGCCCCAUUAGUUAAAGCUGCAAAGUGGGAAGCCUAUAUAAACAGGCAGAAAGCCCGAAACAGCUGUUCUCCUGAAGAAUUCCCUUGCUGCCGAGAAGAUGGUACACCCCGUGGCUCGAAGCAACCGAGUCGACGGGCGAGGCAGAGGAGGAACAAACUGUGG